rnacentral:rRNA from 1 species
UACAGAGGGUGCAAGCGUUGUUCGGAAUUACUGGGCGUAAAGCGCACGUAGGCGGACAUUUAAGUCAGGGGUGAAAUCCCGGGGCUCAACCCCGGAACUGCCUUUGAUACUGGGUGUCUAGAGUCCGGAAGAGGUGAGUGGAAUUCCGAGUGUAGAGGUGAAAUUCGUAGAUAUUCGGAGGAACACCAGUGGCGAAGGCGGCUCACUGGUCCGGUACUGACGCUGAGGUGCGAAAGCGUGGGGAGCAAACAGG